rnacentral:rRNA from 1 species
GAUGAACGCUGGCGGCGUGCUUAACACAUGCAAGUCGAACGAAGCACUUUAUUUGAUUUCCUUCGGGACUGAUUAUUUUGUGACUGAGUGGCGGACGGGUGAGUAACGCGUGGGUAACCUGCCCUGUACAGGGGGAUAACAGCUGGAAACGGCUGCUAAUAACGCAUAAGCGCACGGCAUCGCAUGAUGCAGUGUGAAAAACUCCGGUGGUAUAAGAUGGAGCCGCGUUGGAUUAGCUAGUGGGUGAGGUAACGGUCCACCAAGGGGACGAUCCAUAGCCGACCGUGGAGGGUGACCGGCCACAUUGGGACUGCGACACGGACCAGACUCGUACGGGAGGCAGCAGUGUGGAAUAUUGCACAAUGGGCGAAAGCCUGAUGCAGCGACGCCGCGUGAGCGAAGAAGUAUUUCGAUAUGUAAAGCUCUAUCAGCAGGGAAGAUAAUGACGGUACCUUACGAAGAAGCACCGGCUAACUACGUG